CCCUUAGAUGUUCUGGGCCGCACGCGCGCUACACUGAAUGGAUCAACGUGUUUUCCCUUCCCGAGAGGGACGGGUAACCCGCUGAACCCCAUUCGUGGUAGGGAUCGGAGCUUGCAAUUGUUCUCCGUGAACCAGGAAUUCCCAGUAAGCGCAAGUCAUAAGCUUGCGUUGAUUACGUCCCUGCCCUUUGUACACACCGCCCGUCGCUACUACCGAUUGAAUGGUCCGGUGAAGCCUCCGGAUUGGCGCGCACCUCGGUGCCGCCGAGAAGUUGGCUAAACCUUNCNAUUUAGNGGAAGGUGAANUCGUANCA
rnacentral:rRNA from 1 species